GCAGACAACAACCGCUGGGCGAUGAUUUUGCAGCAAAAUUUAGAGUGGAAGACUGGACGUGAAAGUGGUGGAGAAAAUACAUGCUGGACCGAGCUCCGUGAAAAUUAACAAAAAUGGCAGAAAAUCACCAUGCUCAUUUAAUGCAUCUUGAUCAUGUCAACAGGCUCAGAGAGAUAGCCAAUUGGCCCAGACCCUGACUGGAUUCCUUUUGAGUUGUACAUGGAUGAAGCCUUUCGAAUGCGGUAUCACUGCACUCCAUCUCAUCAACAUGCUUGAGGGUGAUCUGAGGAGGAAUACAGAACGUAGUGAACCUCUACCUGUUGUCAUAUGUGCCAUCGAUGGGACUCACGUCUACAUUAGGAGUCCUGUUGGGGAACAAGCCCUGUACUUCCUUAACCGGAAGAACAGGUAUUCUGUCACUGUGCAGAUUGCAUUUUUAAUAUAAAUGUAUACUCUGUUAUGCCAGUCUGAACUUUUGGGAAAGGGUCGAUAAUGUGACUUGUACUCCUAUCAUCAUUCCAAUGUCACUAAAUAUAAUAGCGGUCAUUGACUUUUUUUAAGCAUUGAAAUUUAGAUUGUUUCAUUUCGCACCCUCUCCUUGUAAUGUACUGUACAGUUUUUAUUUGUCCUUUAAAUAUGCUCUUGAGCAUUUUCCUUACAAAUUUAUUAUCUAGACAUUAGACGCUACAGACUGAGAAUCUAAGUGAGUCUUUCGAUACUUGUGUUUAAUAUAUACAAAAUCUUAUAAUUCCAUUGUAUUUCUUUAAGUUUAGUGUGAAAAUCAUUCAGACAAAGACCAGAUCCUUCUCCUAUUAGGUUUACUUUAAAAAUGAAUACUCACUUUCUUACUGUCAUGCUCUUCAUUUUUCAAUUGAUAAUGCCGAAGUCAUAUAUCAAUAUUCAAUAAAUACUUAAUCAUCAUACAGAGUGAAGAAUAUGUGUAUAUUAAUAACAUAGGUAGGUAAGUAUAUAGUGAUAUACUGCAAUAUCUAAUAGUGCUCGACUGUGUAGGAGCUGAGUAUAAAUAAUUUAUUGGUUGGAUUGCUUAACUAAGCUAGUCGUACAGACUGUUUCACCCUAAGGCUCAUCAUAACUAUAAUAUAUUAUUACCCAUAUUUGACAUCUGAGCUGGACAUUUAAAAUGUAUUGCCCUAUAGCUUUCAUGAAUAUUGAUAAUGAGUCAGGUACUGUAUACUAUAAUUGUUUUUCUCAGUCUUUCUAGUACAAUUUCAUCCAUUACAACAUAAUUCCUAAUUUAUGAAUAGAUAUCUAUAUAAAGUUUUUAUGAUAUCAGUAUUCAAAUGAAUUCUCUAUAAUUUCCCAACCACAUCAGCAAAUCAAGGACUUCUGUAAUUUCUUUAGCUAUAAGUAUUUAAUAUAACCUGCAGUAUUGUUUAUGCAGUGUGUCCCAGAAAAAACGAAACCGAGAUUUAUCGAUGAUUUAUAAUAACUUAAUCACAAAUACAAUAGACAAAUGAUCUACCAUUGUAAAUCUCCUCUUUCAUCUAAAAUUACUUAGAUUAUUUCUCAUUCACGCAUGAGUGAGCAAAACAAUUUGAAAAGGGGAUACCAAAAAGUCAUUUGGCGGGCUCUAUCUGGGUUUUAAAAAGAAAGGCACGUUUUUAAAAAGUUCAAUAUCUGUUCUGUAAUUUGAUACUUCAAUUACAGCAACUGGUCAAGAAAUAACAAAGUUCUGGUUAUUUGAAAUAAGGCUUGAAUUUCAAUAAUUUCAUAAAAUGAAGAGGGUUUACAGGCUAGCGUUUAAACUCACUCGACACUCCGUUUUGUUGACGAUCAGCCAUGCAUUAAGUCUUUUUUAACCAUGUGAUAGCUUCUAUGGGAAACCGGUGAAAACACGUUUAUUUAAUGAAACUUCUUGACUAUUUUUUGUGAUUAAGGUAUCAAAUAAAAGAGCAGAUAUUGAACUUUUGAGACAUGUGAUUUUCUUUUUGAAAUUCAGAUCCCCCCCCGGCCAAAUGAGUUUUUUCUUGGACGCACUGAAAAAUAUAAAUCCCUCAAAAAAAAGUUUGGAAAUCUGUGUUUGGCCAUUAAUUUCUCCCAACUCCCAAUUUUACAUCAUUUAAAAGACCAUUUAAUUCUCUUUAAAAUGAUACCAUGCUUGUUAUGAUUAUGCCAUCGUAAAAAGAGCAGGAUUCAAAAGUGUUGGAUGAGGUCUGAAUUGAAAGCUGCAAAACGAGCAGAAAUAGUCAUGAAGGGUCAAUACAGAACAUGAUUCUUUUUUCUGUGUCAAUACAGAUAAAAAUCCAGUCACAACUAGCCCCUGCUUCUGUCGUGAUGGUACUGUGAGAUAACAUGGUUUGAGUCGUGGUUUGAAAUACCUAUGUUUGUUUGUUUGUUAUGUGUUUGCUUGUGCAGAGGUGUGUUUGAUUCCAUGUUAAUGUUGAUGUUAAGGUGCAUGAAAACAAUCAAAAGAAACCGAUGAGAAACCCACUCAUAAAUAAAAAAAGAACAGUGACUUUCAAUAUUGUGUCAUUUUGCAACUUUUGAAUUUUGACCUUAUCCCACAUUUCAAGGCACUGCACCUCCAUGUGUACCAUAAUCAUAUCAUGUAGGGUAUGAUUUUAAAGAAAAUCAAAUGGUCUAUUCAUUGAUAUUAAUUACACAUUGGUAUAGUCCGAGGAGGGAUUAUCGAUCAAAGUCAGAUUUCCAAACUUUUUUGAGGAGUUUAUAUUAUUGGAUUAUAAUUUUUAUUAAAUUCAAUUAUUAACAGAAUAUGUGUACAUGCAUGGAUAGACCAUAAUUGAUAUUUUAUUAAUUAAUCAUUGGAAUUAGGGAAGCCAAGGGCUUCUCUGUUUUUUGCUGCUUCAAUACAUUUCUGGAAAGAAAAAAUGUCCAUCUUGAUAGCAUGUUCAGCAUUGGCAAUUUCCAUUUUAUUUUCAUAUUCUUCCUCUUUUGUCACACGAGCUCUGUUGAUGCCUUGGGAACAAUUUUCCAAGCUCCUCUUUCGAGGUGAUGCAUUGCUGCUAAAAAUUAUUGACCAAAACCAAAAAAAUUAAUUCCAUGAUCGCAUGAUGUAUUUGAAUUUUAAGAAAUUAAUUUUUACAUGCAUGUCACUCGACUUGCAGAAAAAUUAGUUUUAACAGUCAUAAUCUAUGUAAUCAUAGUUGAAUAAUGUAAAGUGUGGUUAUUCAUGUGUGGAAAAUGUGACAAAAUAAUAUAUUAAAUUGUUGUCAUCAAAUUGAA